rnacentral:rRNA from 1 species
CGCGUAGGCGGUCUGCUAAGCGUGUGGUGAAAGCUCGGGGCUCAACCCCGCGUCGGCCAUGCGAACUGGUGGACUUGAGCACUGUAGAGGCAGGUGGAAUUCCGGGUGUAGCGGUGGAAUGCGUAGAGAUCCGGAAGAACACCGGUGGCGAAGGCGGCCUGCUGGGCAGUAGCUGACGCUCAGGUGCGAAAGCGUGGGGAGCAAACAGGAUUAGAUACCCCGGUA